GCGCGAUUAGCUCAGCGGGAGAGCGCUUCCCUGACGCGGAAGAGGUCACUGGUUCAAUCCCAGUAUCGCGCA
rnacentral:tRNA from 1 species